CAAGAUUCCCGUUCCGCAACUAAACCACACCUGCCAAGGCGCUGUACGGCGGCGGCGGCGUGCUCCACCGCAGUCCGCCCCAAUCCGGCGGGGUCCGUCCGCCUGCUCCGGCCACCUCCUCCUCAACCACCCGGACCUCCUCCCGCCGGCAUCCCCCGUGGGAACGGCCUCCUCCGCCGCCUGCCUACAACGCCGAUGCCUUUCUCCAGGCGCACGUAGAUGGGUGGGCCGGAGCAGCCCCAGCCACGGCCGACGGUCUCGGCGGACUCCCUUCCCUCCCUGCCCCGCGGCCAGGAAGCCGCCGACGUCAUCCGGUCUAUCAUUCCCCUUCUUCCAAUUCCGUCCAAUUGGAUCCCUGCGGUCAUACUCAGGUUGCUCAACUUUAAUUUGUUACAUCGUUCUACUUCUUUUGUUCAUCAGGAUAUCUAUCAGGACACGGCAUCAUCCUUAUCACAAGAUAUAUCCCCGGCCGGCCGGCCGGCGGCAGUAUGGUGACGCAAAUAAGCUCCCUGCCUCGUCAAACAAGCAAGGGUGUGUGUGUUAGACUUAUGGCACAACUGAACAGUAUGUCGAGAUGUCGGAUAAAACUCGGACUUGACCGAAGGGCACUGAGAUGCUUAGAACCUCCACAUUCCGAACGAACAAGAAUGGCUUGUAGAUUCCAUUAGCAGUCCUCCUGCAGAUGAUCUCAAAGUCUCUAAUAGCACAGCCAGUACCAAUACCAAUACCAAACGGAUAAGGGAUGUCGACAUCACCACACUGUGUUUUGCAUCCGGGGCCAGACUGCGCUGAUGUAGAGGCUAAGUGCAACAUGACUGCAACAACUAGCAGUGGCAGGAAAGCCAUGUUACUUGUCUGAAACUGGACUUGCCCAGAAGAUUCUGCUGCACAGCACUACAGGAAAAGAGGGAAAAAAUAGUGAGCAAACUAAUGGCCAUUCAAUUCAACUCUAAAAGUUGUAGGCGACACUUCCUGUGUACUCUUCAUUUCUAUGUUGUCGAAAUAUACCUGAAAAUUUUAGCAUGGCUGAAGAAUUUUAAUAAUGCUUUGUAAAUAUCAAGCUGCUAUAAUCUUAUAGAUGAAAUGCUGUGAAAAUUUUUGUUGAGCUUGCAAUCUUAAUAUAUAAAUGACAGAAAAAUAUAUUAAUACUAGAAGGCCUUUUCAUCUUUUGUUUGACUGUCUGCAUGUCUAGAUUCGAAUUAUGCAAUAAAUUGUUUCUCGCCUUUGGAUUUCUGGCACUGAAUUCACGUGCAUGCCUUGUGCAAAUAUGAAGACCGUGUUUUCUGAGUUGUAAGUUUUUGGUUGUUUGCAAAGUUAAACAGUCUAAUUUUUACUUCUUAGAUACAGAUAAUCCUUGGCCGGAAGAUUUUGCUGCUGUCCAGGCUGAGAACUAACAUUGAGAAGAGUGUGGCCUAUCCUAAUUCCUGUGUUGGUAUAGAUUUAUCUCGUAUGCUGUGUGAUUUUGGUGGAGUGCAAGCUUAUUGGCCAAGGGUAUCUGGGUUUGCCUGUAGGGUUCAAAAAGCCAAGCUACAGCCGGUUGUGCUUGACUAGGCUACCGGCAAACUCUCGCCAUGGAAAGAGCGACGUCUCAACAGGACUGGCCGGAAGACUGGUGCUUAUUAACUGGGCGGUGACUGCAACUUGCUGCUACCUAUUUCCUGACCACCUUGUGAAGAAGCGAGUGUGCGCGCCAAAGAUGUUCAGUCGAGCCCUUGGGCUGUGGUGGGAAUGGUUCAGGUGGGAUGAUGAGAAGAGACCAUGGAAGGGCACAGAGACUCCGUGUGACGAGAUUAAUAGGCAGCUCUUUUCCUGCCGCACCCCCAUCUCCCUUGGGGAUGGCAGCUUGGCCAUUCUCAGGAAGGGCCGCUAGUUGGAAGGGGAUGCUCCAUGUUUUUUGGUGCCCCGGAAAUCUUCAGGCUGGCACGGUACAGAAGUUGCCGGUUAAGGAUGCGAGGGUUGCAGCGGAUCAGUACUAAGGUGCAGCUGAACCAAUUCAUGCUAAUUUGAGUGGCGUGCCGCACAAUGGCGUUUGCCGCCUGUGUGAUCAGGAGCAAGACAGCGCUGCCCAUCUGACCCGGCGUUGCUGUUACGCGCGGCAUUGAUUUCAGAAUUCCAACGCUAGAGUGUGCUCAAUUGUUUCUUGGCAUUGACAAUGGAGGUAUGGCGGAGGAGGAUUUAUUAGUCGGGCGGCGGCUCGCCGAGGCGAGAAGAAGAAAAACUGUAAUCCAAUUCGGAGUAGUAAUUUCGAACAAAAAGUACCUGUGUAUGUAGCUGGGAUAUGGAGGGAGGCACGACGAUCCAGUUCCUGGCCAACUGAAGUGGAGCGCGGUGUGCAACAGCUCUGCUCAUGAACAUGAACUCAUCCUCAAGCAAUGGCCGUGGUCUGCACCCGUCCGUAACUCUUUUUCCCCUUCCAUCCAAAGAAAAAGGAGUAGGGCCAUUUUUGUACUGUCUUUUUCAGAACGGAGACUUGGCCAAACUCCAUUCGCUAGCUUGUUUUGCUGGCCGGGCGGCCAGAUGGCAAAAGCUCCCCUGGCUUAUGUCCAUGGAAGCAGAUAAACCAGGCAGCACGAUCCAGGUUCCAUUUGACUGAAUCAACAAAUUUAGUAUCUGGCCUUGCCGGCGAAUUGGUGGUAGCAUACACUGUCUAUGGAAAUCAGGACUUGUAUAAUGGCUGGGGUGUGGUGCGCAGUGUGCUCAUCUGCCGUCGACGACAAAUUGUAAAAUGUAGAGGUAGCCACCACUCCAAACACAUAUACUACUUACACAUCAUAAACAAGGGACUCCGAACAAAUAGGAUUGAUCCAUUCAUGAUUCUACAAUAUUGUAAUUAAAGUCCUAUUUCUGAAUAUUUAGAAAAGGACAAUGUAAGAAAAAUCACAUUGCAAGUGACCUUCUUUCCAA